UCGAAUGAGACGGUGCGAUAUCCACGGA
rnacentral:sRNA from 1 species